AAGUCGAACGAUGAUCCCAGCUUGCUGGGGGAUUAGUGGCGAACGGGUGAGUAACACGUGAGUAACCUGCCCUUGACUCUGGGAUAAGCCUGGGAAACUGGGUCUAAUACCGGAUACGACCAUCUGGCGCAUGUCAUGGUGGUGGAAAGCUUUUGUGGUUUUGGAUGGACUCGCGGCCUAUCAGCUUGUUGGUGGGGUAAUGGCCUACCAAGGCGACGACGGGUAGCCGGCCUGAGAGGGUGACCGGCCACACUGGGACUGAGACACGGCCCAGACUCCUACGGGAGGCAGCAGUGGGGAAUAUUGCACAAUGGGCGCAAGCCUGAUGCAGCGACGCCGCGUGAGGGAUGACGGCCUUCGGGUUGUAAACCUCUUUCAGUAGGGAAGAAGCGAAAGUGACGGUACCUGCAGAAGAAGCGCCGGCUAACUACGUGCCAGCAGCCGCGGUAAUACGUAGGGCGCAAGCGUUAUCCGGAAUUAUUGGGCGUAAAGAGCUCGUAGGCGGUUUGUCGCGUCUGCUGUGAAAGACCGGGGCUCAACUCCGGUUCUGCAGUGGGUACGGGCAGACUAGAGUGCAGUAGGGGAGACUGGAAUUCCUGGUGUAGCGGUGAAAUGCGCAGAUAUCAGGAGGAACACCGAUGGCGAAGGCAGGUCUCUGGGCUGUAACUGACGCUGAGGAGCGAAAGCAUGGGGAGCGAACAGGAUUAGAUACCCUGGUAGUCCAUGCCGUAAACGUUGGGCACUAGGUGUGGGGGACAUUCCACGUUUUCCGCGCCGUAGCUA
rnacentral:rRNA from 2 species